CUGCCUUGGCCACUUUUUCUUACUCUUGUCUAACUUGCUUGUUAAGAGCUUUGAUGGCCUUCUCAUGGAUCUCAUUGGCCUUUAUCGUCUCUGGUAGCCUCAGCCAUAGCUCUUCAUUCUUUUUUAUCCGUUCAUGCAGGUUAAAAAUGUGCAUCUCCUGUUCAUUUACUUUACGCUGAAGGUUCAGGAGACUGAUUUUUUUCCUUCAGCGUAGUAAUCUUCUCAUUGAGUUGAUUUUUGAGUCCUUCUGCAAGCUUGGACUCUUUCUCAGCAAGCUGAGACUUCUCCUCAGCUUUCUCCUUGGCCACCUUUUUCUACUCCUGGAUG
rnacentral:lncRNA from 1 species